GAUGAACGCUGGCGGCGUGCCUAAUACAUGCAAGUCGAACGCUUUGUGGUUCAACUGAUUUGAAGAGCUUGCUCAGAUAUGACGAUGGACAUUGCAAAGAGUGGCGAACGGGUGAGUAACACGUGGGAAACCUACCUCUUAGCAGGGGAUAACAUUUGGAAACAGAUGCUAAUACCGUAUAACAAUGACAACCGCAUGGUUGUUAUUUAAAAGAUGGUUCUGCUAUCACUAAGAGAUGGUCCCGCGGUGCAUUAGCUAGUUGGUAAGGUAAUGGCUUACCAAGGCGAUGAUGCAUAGCCGAGUUGAGAGACUGAUCGGCCACAAUGGGACUGAGACACGGCCCAUACUCCUACGGGAGGCAGCAGUAGGGAAUCUUCCACAAUGGGCGAAAGCCUGAUGGAGCAACGCCGCGUGUGUGAUGAAGGGUUUCGGCUCGUAAAACACUGUUGUAAGAGAAGAAUGACAUUGAGAGUAACUGUUCAAUGUGUGACGGUAUCUUACCAGAAAGGAACGGCUAAAUACGUGCCAGCAGCCGCGGUAAUACGUAUGUUCCAAGCGUUAUCCGGAUUUAUUGGGCGUAAAGCGAGCGCAGACGGUUAUUUAAGUCUGAAGUGAAAGCCCUCAGCUCAACUGAGGAAUUGCUUUGGAAACUGGAUGACUUGAGUGCAGUAGAGGAAAGUGGAACUCCAUGUGUAGCGGUGAAAUGCGUAGAUAUAUGGAAGAACACCAGUGGCGAAGGCGGCUUUCUGGACUGUAACUGACGUUGAGGCUCGAAAGUGUGGGUAGCAAACAGGAUUAGAUACCCUGGUAGUCCACACCGUAAACGAUGAGUGCUAGGUGUUUGAGGGUUUCCGCCCUUAAGUGCCGCA
rnacentral:rRNA from 1 species